rnacentral:rRNA from 1 species
UACGGAGGAUCCAAGCGUUAUCCGGAAUUACUGGGCGUAAAGAGUUGCGUAGGUGGCAUAGUAUGUCUGUAGUGAAAGCGUGUGGCUCAACCAUAUAUACAUUACAGAAACUGCUAAGCUAGAGGACGAGAGAGGUUAUUAGAAUUCCUAGUGUAGGAGUGGAAUCCGUAGAUAUUAGGAGGAAUACCGAUGGCGUAGGCAGAUAACUGGCUCGUUCCUGACACUAAGGCACGAAAGCGUGGGGAGCAAACGGG